rnacentral:lncRNA from 1 species
UACAUAUAAAUACAUACAUUUCAACCGCGUUUGCAAACAUUUCAGUAACCGGAAGUCGCGUUCUCCCGAGGAAGUAACCAGUACGCCGCUCGAGCGCUUUUCGUUAGGAUGCGUGUGAUCUUAAAGUCUGCGGUUGCUUCACUAAACCUACAUGCUUCUGCAAGGCAUCUUACUUUAUAAGAUCUUCUGUGAAUCGUUUCCAUCAAUGCAUCAGUCAAUCAAUCUUCACCAACACCACACGCCAUCAGCAUCUCUAUUUUGUUGUUUCUUCUAAUGAAAACAGCUCUCCAUGAGAGUUCUGAUGAGUUCGAGUGAUGAAUGAGGACACAGUUUGGUGAGAGUAAGUGAAAAUCACACUCUCUUCCUCCACUCAGCGAC